rnacentral:rRNA from 1 species
CCAGACUCCUACGGGAGGCAGCAGUGAGGAAUAUUGGUCAAUGGGCGCGAGCCUGAACCAGCCAAGUCGCGUGAGGGACGACGGUCCUACGGAUUGUAAACCUCUUUAGGCGGGGAGUAAUGUGCUCUACGAGUAGAGUAGUGAGAGUACCCGCAGAAUAAGCAUCGGCUAACUCCGUGCCAGCAGCCGCGGUAAUACGGAGGAUGCGAGCGUUAUCCGGAUUUAUUGGGUUUAAAGGGUGCGCAGGCUGUGCAUCAAGUCAGCGGUAAAAUCUCGGGGCUCAACCCCGUUUAGCCGUUGAAACUGGUGUGCUGGAGUGUGCGCGAGGAAGGCGGAAUGCGCGGUGUAGCGGUGAAAUGCAUAGAUAUUGCGCAGAACUCCGAUUGCGAAGGCAGCCUUCCAGUGCAUGACUGACGCUGAGGCACGAAAGCGUGGGUAUCGAACAGGAUUAGAUACCCUGGUAGUCCACGCAGUAAACGAUGAAUACUAUCUUUCCGUCGCGAUUGAGCGGGGGGAGGACAAGCGAAAGCGUUAAGUAUUCCACCUGGGGAGUACGCCGGCAACGGUGAAACUCAAAGGAAUUGACGGGGGCCCCGCACAAG